CUUAGCGGCGGACGGGUGAGUAACGCGUGGGUAACCUGCCUUACACUGGGGGAUAACAGUUAGAAAUGACUGCUAAUACCGCAUAAGCGCACAGGGCCGCAUGGUCUGGUGUGAAAAACUCCGGUGGUGUAAGAUGGACCCGCGUCUGAUUAGGCAGUUGGUGGGGUAACGGCCCACCAAGCCGACGAUCAGUAGCCGACCUGAGAGGGUGACCGGCCACAUUGGGACUGAGACACGGCCCAA
rnacentral:rRNA from 1 species